GACGAACGCUGGCGGCGUGCUUAACACAUGCAAGUCGAACGGAAAGGCCCUGCUUUUGUGGGGUGCUCGAGUGGCGAACGGGUGAGUAACACGUGAGUAACCUGCCCUUGACUUUGGGAUAACUUCAGGAAACUGGGGCUAAUACCGGAUAGGAGCUCCUGCUGCAUGGUGGGGGUUGGAAAGUUUCGGCGGUUGGGGAUGGACUCGCGGCUUAUCAGCUUGUUGGUGGGGUAGUGGCUUACCAAGGCUUUGACGGGUAGCCGGCCUGAGAGGGUGACCGGCCAAAUUGGGAAUGAGAUACGGCCCAGACCCCUCCGGGGGGGAGCGGGGGGGAAUUUGGCAAAAGGGGCGGAAGCCUGAUGCAGCAACGCCGGGGGGGGGAGGACGGCUUUCGGGUUGUAAACCGCUUUCGCCUGGGACGAAGCGUGAGUGGCGGUAAUGGGUAAAAAAGCACCGGCUAACUACGU
rnacentral:rRNA from 1 species